AUUGAACGCUGGCGGCAUGCCUUACACAUGCAAGUCGAACGGUAACAGGUCUUCGGAUGCUGACGAGUGGCGAACGGGUGAGUAAUCCAUCGGAACGUGCCUAGUAGUGGGGGAUAACUACUCGAAAGAGUGGCUAAUACCGCAUGAGAUCUACGGAUGAAAGCAGGGGAUCGCAAGACCUUGUGCUACUAGAGCGGCCGAUGGCAGAUUAGGUAGUUGGUGGUAUAAGAGCUUACAAAGCAGACGAUCUGUAGCUGUUCUGAGAGGACGAUCGGCCACACUGGGACUGGGACACGGCCCAGACUCCUACGGGAGGCAGCAGUGGGGAAUUUUGGACAAUGGGCGAAAGCCUGAUCCAGCAAUGCCGCGUGCAGGAUGAAGGCCUUCGGGUUGUAAACUGCUUUUGUACGGAACGAAAAGCCCCGGGUUAAUACCCUGGGGUCAUGACGGUACCGUAAGAAUAAGCACCGGCUAACUACGUGCCAGCCGCCGCGGUAA
rnacentral:rRNA from 1 species